GCUGGCGGCACGCCUAACACAUGCAAGUCGAACGCAGUAGCAAUACUGAGUGGCAAACGGGUGAGUAUAAUGUGGGAAUCUGCCUUUUGGUUUGGAAUAACACGGGGAAACUUGUGCUAAUACCGAAUAAGCCUUUACAGGGAAAGUUUUAAUGCCGAAAGAUGAGCCCGCACUUGAUUAGCUAGUUGGUAAGGUAAAAGCUUACCAAGGCAAUGAUCAAUAGCUGUUCUUAGAGGAAGACCAGCCACAUUGGGACUGAGACACGGCCCAGACUCCUACGGGAGGCAGCAGUGGGGAAUCUUGCACAAUGGGGGAAACCCUGAUGCAGCGAUGCCGCGUGAGUGAAGAAGGCCCUUGGGUUGUAAAACUCUUUCGUCGGGGAAGAAAAUGACUGUACCCGAAUAAGAAGGUCCGGCUAACUUCGUGCCAGCAGCCGCGGUAAUACGAAGGGACCUAGCGUAGUUCGGAAUUACUGGGCUUAAAGAGCUCGUAGGUGGUUAAAAAAGUUGAUGGUGAAAUCCCAAGGCUUAACCUUGGAACUGCCAUCAAAACUUUUUAGCUAGAGUGUGAUAGAGGUAAGUGGAAUUUCUAGUGUAGAGGUGAAAUUCGUAGAUAUUAGAAAGAACACCAAAUGCGAAGGCAACUUACUGGGUCACUACUGACACUGAGGAGCGAAAGCAUGGGUAGCGAAGAGGAUUAGAUACCCUCGUAGUCCAUGCCGUAAACGAUGUGUGCUAGACGUUGGAAAUAUAUUUUUCAGUGUCGCAGCGAAAGCAUUAAGCACACCGCCUGGGGAGUACGACCGC
rnacentral:rRNA from 1 species